UUGUUUCCUUUUUUUUCUUCUAUUCUCCCUUUUCAUCUAGGUUCACUAUGAAGAGCAAAGUUAGCACCUGUGCAAUGAUCCAAUUUGUUUUUGGGAUUUUGUGCUACAUUUCACCUCACCAAUUGCAGCUUCACCACAAGAAAAAAAAUGAAGCCUGUAAAGAUAGCAAUUCUGAGUGGAUUCUAGAAAGACGGUAGAAUAUCAGCAACCUCCCUCCCUCCCAAAAUGACAAGUAUACUGGAAGAAUCUGUCUGCUACAACCAUUUUAUAAGUCUGAAGUCUAUGAAAGGUAUGCAACAUCCAUGUUAAGGCUUAGACACGAAUUUUAGUUAAUUUAGAUGAAUUUCAGUUCUUUUCUCUGCAGGUAAGACAAGUCACCUCCUACCCCUUCAUGUUCUUGG
rnacentral:lncRNA from 1 species